AUAAAGUCCCCAUAAGCCGAUACUAACAGCAAUUGGAGUACUCAUUUUGCUCAUCGCGACAAUACCACAGAUCAUGGAGAGGAAUGUGAGUACCAACAGUGAACAUCCAAUUGUGAUCGUGCCCAAACGUACACCCUUUGACAUAGCCAUUUUUUCGCUGGGCCUUACGAAUCCCCAAAAUAUGAAAGACUCGCUAGUUUCUGUUGAACUGUAUUUAAGACCACCUGUAGUCCUGUCAAUAUGUAAUCGAUCUCAAAUGUAUUGCGACGCGUAUCCGUUUCAAGAUCG